ACGGGAGGCAGCAGUGGGGAAUAUUGCACAAUGGGGGAAACCCUGAUGCAGCGACGCCGCGUGAACGAUGAAGUAUUUCGGUAUGUAAAGUUCUAUCAGCAGGGAAGAUAAUGACGGUACCUGACUAAGAAGCACCGGCUAAAUACGUGCCAGCAGCCGCGGUAAUACGUAUGGUGCAAGCGUUAUCCGGAUUUACUGGGUGUAAAGGGUGCGUAGGCGGCAUGGCAAGUCUGAAGUGAAAUGCGGGGGCUCAACCCCUGAACUGCCUUGGAAAUUGUCAAGCUUGAGUACAGGAGAGGAAAGCGGAAUUCCUAGUGUAGCGGUGAAAUGCGUAGAUAUUAGGAGGAACACCAGUGGCGAAGGCGGCUUUCUGGACUGUAACUGACACUGAGGCACGAAAGCGUGGGGAGCAAACAGGAUUAGAUACCCUGGUA
rnacentral:rRNA from 1 species